CCAGUGAACAUCUUCCAUUGAAGCUUCUAUGAUUAUUUCACAAUAUUCAGCAAUCCACCCAAUGCUAACUGGGGAUGUUUGAUUUUGCAGCCUCUUUCAGAGCAGUUGCUAAAAGUCGCUCCACAUCAUCAGAGGGCUUCCCUCCCUCAGUCCAUGAGAGCAACUAAGUUUUGCAUCAGUGAAAGGAAGAAAAAGCAGGAGUCUGGAUUGCUGCCAUUAGAGAGAAAUGAAAGCAAUAUUUUAGCAGCCUGUUGCUUCACAGAAUAAACAUUGCCCUUAUCAUUCUUUGUGGAUUGAUUUUUGCCUGUUUGAUGACAGAAUUCUUCACAUGAC
rnacentral:lncRNA from 1 species